ACGGGGAAGAGAGAAAGGAAGAUGAAAAUAAGUGUGUGAAGGAAGCAAGGGAAGGAGACAGGAGAGAGCUCCUGAAAGAAAAGAGACUAAGUGCAGAAGAAAAUAUGACACACAUGGAGAAACAAAUGAGAGAGCUGGAGGUCAAAGAUUCCUCCAUCUUCUCAGCUGGUGCUGAGGUCAAACAGACCCAGUGCAAAGAUGUCUCCAUGGUUACUGCAACUGAGUCAAAGACUCUGAACCCUCAGAAGGACCAGCCAGCAAAGUGCAAAGAAUUCUCUGUGUUUUCCACGAGCAGUCAAGGUG